rnacentral:lncRNA from 1 species
UUCUGCAGCAUAAGCAAUCCUAACGCGAAUCCGUGAACAGUCUAUUCCGACGCCCCAGAGAAAUCUCACGCGGGGAUCCCCACGAUGUGCCGGCGCUUAACGCAGACGCCCGAACCCAGGGGAAGGCUGCGACUCCGCGAUGAGUGACAUGCGGGCUUGAGACGUUCUAAAGGAACGUGGACCGAGUUAGGGAACGUAACUGAAGCUCAUUUUGUCUUAGUUAUGGACUAUGAGUCCUUAAUAAAUGUAUGUCAUUAUGUUUAAAGA